CCAUGUUCUAACAUUUCCUCCACAGUUUCAUUCAUCCUUUCCCUCUGUGUGUAAGAUAUUUGAUAAGAACACUGAUAUAUUGAUAGACUAUUACUUGUAUUUAUCUCAUGUUAACAAUAUCGCAAUAUCCUAAAUUGAAAUUAUUAGCCGCAAAGACAUGUUUUUAUUUGUACAAUAAAACUAAUAAUGGUUUCUUCUUAUCCUUUUCCAUCUUCAACCAAUCAAAAAAAUUUCCAAAAUCUUUCUGAUUCAUGUUCACAAUAGCAUCAGCUUUUUGCAACUGCAACCUUUCAUUAUUUGUUUGUUCCUCAGUUUCUUUCAUCGCCUGCAGGAAUUUACCUACUGAAUCUUGCUUGUGUAAUUUUAUAGCAUUGGUUGUGAUAUUCAUAAUCCUAACAGGGACCUUGCCUCUUGCUUUCAUUCUGACUGAUACAUCCAUAGUCAUCAGUCCUGGUAUGCUCAAAAUUUCUGAUGCUAUCACCUCCUAACUGGUUUUUUUUGUCUAUUACCUGUAACUUUUACCAAUAUUAUAACUUCUGACAUGGGUAGUAUAACUUCAUCUUUUGUCAGAUAAACAGUUUUCACACCAUUGCGGCAAUUGAUAGACUGUGAAUCUGGUUGUGGGUCAUUUUGGUUACCUUUAUUUUUGUUUCUGGUACGGAUGGUGAUAUUUUGGUUUAUGUUGCAUAGACCUCCUUAUGGUAGCUUGGUUGCAUAAUUUGCCUUUAAAAUUUAUUUGUAUACCAUUAGCUAAUAUUAUUUUUGAAUCAUGCAACAAUAUUGUUUGGUGGUGUUAAGUAAUUAUAUCACGACCUAAUAUGCUAUCACUCAGUGUAGUUAUAUGCAGAUUGACAACAUAACAAGCAUGUUUGAGUUGCAGUAGACCUAUUUGAAAGAUAAAUUCAUAUCUUCCAUAUGUUUGUCUUAAAUGUCCCAUGAUACUUUGUAAUUUUAAAUUUGAAUCAUGAUGUGGAAAUGAAAUUUGC
rnacentral:lncRNA from 1 species